UACGUAGGGGGCUAGCGUUGUCCGGAAUCAUUGGGCGUAAAGAGCGUGUAGGCGGCCCGGUAAGUCCGCUGUGAAAGUCGGGGGCUCAACCCUCGAAUGCCGGUGGAUACUGUCGGGCUAGAGUCCGGAAGAGGCGAGUGGAAUUCCCGGUGUAGCGGUGAAAUGCGCAGAUAUCGGGAGGAACACCAAUGGCGAAGGCAGCUCGCUGGGACGGUACUGACGCUGACGACGCGAAAGCGUGGGGAGCAAACAG
rnacentral:rRNA from 1 species